UCCCGCUGGCCGCAUGGAAGUCUGUGCCGACCAAUGGGAGAAGGAGCGCCCAUUCAAACUGGGUUUGCGCCAUUCUCCUGGUUGGUUGGCACAAGUAAAGCGCCAAUUGGUCGCCGCAGGGAGCGGGAGACCAAUCAGAGAAGGAGCGCUUGUUCAAACAGGGUUUCGCGCCCUUUCUUAUUCACCAUGGGCACCGAUUGGUGCAAAUUGGUUUCGCACCUUUCAGCGG